UACAUUAGCAUGGGAUAAUGGAAUAGGACCCUGACCUCCUAUUUUCAGUUGGUUUUGUUUACAGCGAGGUUAUAUCAGGGUAAUGAUUAAUAGGGAUAGUUGGGGGCAUUAAUAUUUAAUUGUCAGAGGUGAAAUUCUUGGAUUUAUGAAAGAUUAACUUCUGCGAAAGCGUUUGCCAAGGAUGUUUUCAUUAAUCAAGAACGAAAGUUAGGGGAUCGAAGACGAUCAGAUACCGUCGUAGUCUUAACCAUAAACGAUGCCGACCAGCGAUUAGGAGACGUUGAAUACAAAACACCGCUGUUAAUCCUUUCGGGGGUUAAUAGUUGGUGAAUGACUCCCUAGCAG
rnacentral:rRNA from 1 species